rnacentral:rRNA from 1 species
GAUGAACGCUGGCGGCGUGCCUAAUACAUGCAAGUCGAGUGAACUGGUUAGAAGCUUGCUUCUAUGACGUUAGCGGCGGACGGGUGAGUAACACGUGGGCAACCUGCCUGUAAGACUGGGAUAACUUCGGGAAACCGAAGCUAAUACCGGAUAGGAUCUUCUCCUUCAUGGGAGAUGAUUGAAAGAUGGUUUCGGCUAUCACUUACAGAUGGGCCCGCGGUGCAUUAGCUAGUUGGUGAGGUAACGGCUCACCAAGGCAACGAUGCAUAGCCGACCUGAGAGGGUGAUCGGCCACACUGGGACUGAGACACGGCCCAGACUCCUACGGGAGGCAGCAGUAGGGAAUCUUCCGCAAUGGACGAAAGUCUGACGGAGCAACGCCGCGUGAGUGAUGAAGGCUUUCGGGUCGUAAAACUCUGUUGUUAGGGAAGAACAAGUACGAGAGUAACUGCUCGUACCUUGACGGUACCUAACCAGAAAGCCACGGCUAACUACGUGCCAGCCGCCGCGGUAA